AGACCAUGUUGUGGACAUCACCUUAAAUGAUCUUUAUACCUUUCCCAAGAUUCAUAUAAUGUUUUCCCAUCUUGUUGAAUGAAAGAAUCUAUGUCAUGUCAAAGUUU